ACUCCUACGGGAGGCAGCAGUGGGGAAUUUUGGACAAUGGGCGCAAGCCUGAUCCAGCCAUGCCGCGUGUCUGAAGAAGGCCUUCGGGUUGUAAAGGACUUUUGUCAGGGAAGAAAAGGCUGUUGCUAAUAUCGACAGCUGAUGACGGUACCUGAAGAAUAAGCACCGGCUAACUACGUGCCAGCAGCCGCGGUAAUAC
rnacentral:rRNA from 1 species